AGAGGAGAGGCGGACGCGAGACGGGACUAGCGCCACUCCAUUCCACUUCCCUCCCUCGCUUGCCUUCCUUCCUAUCAUAGCAUUCCUAGAUAGACAGAUAGAAACCCCCGAUUCUGAUCGCCGGGAUGAGGUUCUGACCCCCGAUUCGGUCCGUCGAUUGUGAUUUCCCCUCGAUUUGGUGCGGGAUUAGCGGCCGGAAUUAAUCGCCAUGACGGCGGCGUCGCCGAUGGUGCUGUCCCUCCUGCUCUUCGCCUCGCUCACGGCGCUGCUCGUCCUGGCCCCUCGCGCGUCGUCGCCGCCGCUGCCGCUGCCGCUGCCCGUGGUGGUUGGGGACGAGGAGGCGCCGGCCGCCGCUGGGGGUGCUGCUGCGGGGAGCAGCGGCGGGGGGGCGGGAGUUGAGGAGGGACCGGAGGACCUCGCGCUGUCCCGGCGCGUCACGCUCGACGCCGGCGAGGGUGCGGCGGUAGCGUCCAAGGUGGCCUUCAUGUUCCUGACCAACUCCGACCUCACCUUCGCGCCGCUUUGGGAGCGCUUCUUCGCGGGGCACGCCCACCAGUUCAACGUCUACGUGCACGCAGACCCGGCGGUGAGGCUGCGGCACCCCCCUACGCCUUCCUUCCGGGGCCGCUUCGUCGCGGCCAAGCCGACGCGGCGCGGGGACCCGAGCCUCAUCGCUGCGGCGCGGCGGCUGCUUGUCGCCGCGCUACUGGACGACCCGGCCAACGCCUACUUCGCACUGCUCUCGCAGCACUGCGUCCCGCUCCACUCCUUCCCGCGGCUCUACGCGGCGCUCUUCCCGCCCAAGGCCGCGCACCACCACCGCCUCCCUAGCUAUAUCGAGGUGCUUACCGGCGAGCCCCAGAUGCCCGCGCGCUACGUGGCGCGGGGUGACGACGCCAUGCUCCCGGAGGUGCCCUUCGACCGGUUCCGCAUCGGCUCCCAGUUCUUCACGCUGGCCCGCCGCCACGCCGUGCUAGUCGUCCGCGAGCGCCGUCUCUGGCGAAAGUUUAGGGAGCCGUGCCUGCAGGAGUCGCAGGACUCUUGCUACCCGGAGGAGCACUAUUUCCCGACGCUUCUCGACAUGGCCGACCCCGCCGGCUGCACCCGGUACACGCUCACGCGCGUCAACUGGACCGACAGCUUCGAGGGCCACCCGCACACGUAUGCCGCGCCCGAGGUGUCGCCGCGGCUCGUCGCCGAGCUGCGCCAGUCCAACAGCUCCACCUAUGAGCACAUGUUCGCGCGCAAGUUCGCGCCCGACUGCCUUGGCCCGCUCAUGGCCAUCGCCGACACCGUCAUCUUCAAAGAUUGAUCGAUGCGGUGCUCUGCAUCAUAGCUACACGUAGGAGGAAAAACUAGACUCAACGUGCAGGGACAUCAAAGAGCCAGAUCAAGCACACAUACAUGCGUAAAUCAGCCCUAAACCUAUGCAUGACGUGGCCCGCCUCGGCGGCGUUUAACUCGACCUGGGGUACGUUCCGCUACCCUGGUGGUGGCGUCGGAGGAGCAGAAGGCGGAGGCGGCCUACUAAGCCGGCGGGCGCAUGCGGAGGAGGUGCGGCGCCGGCGGGCGUUGCUGACGCCGGAGCAGCGCCGCGAAGCCGCGUACGCCUUCGACUUGUCAUACUGGGCUCAAUGGUUCGCCUUCGAGCACGAGGAGGCGAGGCGACGCGGCGUCCGCGAAGUCGACCGCAGCGUGCUGCCGCCCCUGCUCGUCGCCCGCGAGGAGGAUCAGGAGGCGGAGGCCGCCUACCAGGCGGCAGUUGCGGCUGUCUUCCGGGAGAGCGAGGAGGACGAACGGCGCAGGGUGGUGGGUGGCGGCGAACGAGGAAGAGGAGGCGGCAUACCUCGAACCGUGGCGCCAACAACGGCUGGCCGAGGAGCGCCGCGACGGCACAGGCCCCCGCGAUAGCACAGCCGGCGGCCGACAUCGCCGCCGCUUGGAACACGGCAUUCCCUGAGGCCGGCCCUGCGUCGACGCUCAUCGACAUCACGUACUGCCGCCGCUUAGGGCAGCGCGCCGCCUCGUAGUUUAGUUCGUUUUUAAUUUUUGUUAAUGCAAACGUGGAUGUGUGGACUCUCACCGGCCUUUGUGGCCGACUUUUAAUGUUUACUUAAUGUCUGUUUUUAUUUGCGAAAUGCCUGUAUUUUUUUGUGUCGUCAUAAUGGAUCAGGCCAGUGUUGGGUGCAA